CGAAGUAUAGUCGUAACGUAAAAGCUGCACUUGAGACGAAAUCUUAUAGUUUAAUUGGUUGAAACGUACCGCUCAUAACGGUGAUAUUGUAGGUUCGAGCCCUACUAAGCCUAC
rnacentral:tRNA from 1 species